AUGUGUGGUAUGUCGGUGCUGUUAGAUGACGGUGGAGGGGAUGAAGACUUUGACUCAGGUGAUGGGAUCCGGAUGCUGGCUCCUCCCCCUGCUCAGUGUGAGGGUGGGGUCUGGGGGUCACGGCGGGGUCACUGUGGGUGUGUGCUGUGGACGCUGCUGCUGAUGCUGUGGGACGUCCUGCUGCUGCUGGGGUGUGUGCUGCUGAUGCUCCUGAUCUUCAGCCUCAUCCUGCUGCCCACCGCCCUGCUGCUGUACACCGGCUUCCUGUGCCACACACGGGUCGUGGCCUCUCGUGCUGCUCUUUGUCUCUAUCUUAACGACAACGGUUGCUCUGGUCUCAUCAUCCUGGGCUUUGUGAUGAUGUCUCCGCUGGUGGUGAUUGCUGCGGCAACGUUCUGUGCUCUUCUCAGGCGGCUCCACCUACUCUUAUAUUUUCAGCCAAUCAGAGAAGCUCGGUACCAAGGGCGGGGCUUGGGCUGGAGGCGGGACAUCCACGCCUGGGUUUGACUGACAGACACGCCCACCAUACAACAGUAACAUCACUGCACAGCGACGGCGUUACUGUAACUCUACAGAAACACAAUCAUGUAACACAACGUUUGUAAUAUAUCCCUGGAUGACCAAAAUCUAACCCAGGAAAAGUACUUUUUAUUCAUGACUGGGAAAUUGAUGCAAAGUUCAAGAAUAAGUCUUACUGUAAAUUUCAAUUGUAAAUGUGUUGCCUCAUUGCAUUUUUAUGACUACCUUUUUUCCGCGCAUGCUAGUUGCAUUAAGUCUGUUAGCGUGUGAUAUUUGACGAUGCCUGUAUGAAACAUCAAGCAAAUGUACAGCGUCGCUACAGAUAAACAUAUCUCCACGGUGUUACUGACUUACUGUGAUGUAACACAGUGUAAGUGUUACCAGACUGAUGCGUGCGAGUAAGUGUACUAGUCUAGAGAUGAGUUAACUGGCUUGUGUGGAGGUUGUUCAGAUGUGCAGAAUUGGGAAUAAACCGACUCAAAUCUACUCUGUGGUUGGACUUGAUUUUGGAAAAACCAAACACCAGCGCUUUAAAACUCAGAAAUAUUCCUCGUGUCUAGAGCAGAAGAGAAGGACGCUACAUCCUCCAGAAACAGUAUUCUGUGCAGCUGUGUGUGUGUGUGUGUGUGUAGAGUAGUAACACUAACAGAACGAGCUGAAGCUGUGUCUGGAGGAGUGUACAGAUGAACUCACUCCGGUCAGUUUGACCUGGACACUCUCAGCGGGUCACGUGCCCCCCCAUCUAACACAUUGUGAUAUAUCACCAUGACAACAGACAGCGGCUGGACCUUUGCCAUGGCAACAUAAUGGGGCGACCUAAUGAUACAUAAUGACAGCAGAGAGACAAACGAAUGGAGAGAGAGAAAGAGAGAGAGUUCAGUUAAGUAACACAAUAAUAACUCUGUCACUCAUCAUUCACAGGGACACUGACUGCCAAACUGUAAACAUGACCAACAUAAA
rnacentral:lncRNA from 1 species